GACAACCUCCAGUUCGGAUUGAAGGCUGAAAUUCGCCUUCAUGAAGCUGGAAUUGCUAGUAAUGGCAGGUCAGCAUACUGCCGUGAAUACGUUCCCGGGCCCUUGUACACACCGCCCGUCACACCAUGAGAGUUGGGAAUACCCGAAGCCUGUGAGCUAACUUAUAGAGGCAGCAGUCGAAGGUAGAAUCAAUGAUUGGGGUGAAGUCGUAACAAGGUAAC
rnacentral:rRNA from 1 species